UGGGGAAUAUUGCACAAUGGGCGCAAGCCUGAUGCAGCAACGCCGCGUGAGGGACGACGGCCUUCGGGUUGUAAACCUCUUUUGGCAGGGAAGAAGCGAAAGUGACGGUACCUGCAGAAAAAGCACCGGCUAACUACGUGCCAGCAGCCGCGGUGAUACGUAGGGUGCAAGCGUUGUCCGGAAUUAUUGGGCGUAAAGAGCUCGUAGGCGGUUUGUCGCGUCUGCUGUGAAAACCCGAGGCUCAACCUCGGGCCUGCAGUGGGUACGGGCAAACUAGAGUGCGGUAGGGGAGAUUGGAAUUCCUGGUGUAGCGGUGGAAUGCGCAGAUACCAGGAGGAACACCGAUGGCGAAGGCAGAUCUCUGAGCCGUAACUGACGCUGAGGAGCGAAAGCAUGGGGAGCGAACA
rnacentral:rRNA from 1 species